UUUUAAUUCAUUUCAUCCUAUUGGCUUAACCCUCUCUCAAACAUGCCUUUACCACUGGAAAUCACACCUUCACUCCAGAGGCGGCAGAGCGUUCCAGAUGAGCCUCAAACCACCAUAAUCCUGGCCCUCUCAGCCUCCUCUUUCCCUUUCUUGCAAGAAUUUCCUUUGAAGAACCCUAACAUUUAAAAACCAAAAUUAAACCAUCAAAGAGGGGGAAUCAAGCCACACAACCUUGGGUAUUUGAUUCCCCUCAACCUACUAUACAUUGAGGUAUAUGUUUAGAAGCAAGUAGAAGUAAUAAAGUGUAACCAACCUACAAGGUCGUGGCUCACCUUGGUAUGUUUCUAAGGAUGAAGACCAGAGAAUAUCCAGGGUUGGUCUGCUCAUGGUAUUUGGUAUGGGAUGGCAAGGUUUGGAGAUGGCUUAAGCAUGGUGGUGGCAAGGUUUUAAGAAAUGGAACAAAAAUGGCAUGGAACCAUAUAGAUCAUGAAAGCUUUUGGCAAAUCAGGGCAUGAAUGAAGAAAAUCUUGGAAAGGGAAGACCAAAGUGGAUUUAGGGGUUAGGGUAGUUAGUUUGACUUUGGUCAAAUGUUGACCAAAAAGUCAACAAUUGACCAAAAUCAACUUUAGGUCAACAAUGGGUAUUUUUGUAUAGAAUUUGGAUUUGAAUAUCUUGUAAUGAAACUUGGAAUGUUUGUAAUGAGAUUUGACCCUUGAAUUGUAGUAUGUGACUUGCAUUCUAAGAAACACAUUUUUUCCUCCGAA